GACGAACGCUGGCGGCGUGCUUAAUACAUGCAAGUCGAACGGACAGGCGCUGCUCUUGUGGCGCUCUCGAUUGGCGAACGGGUGUGUAUCACGCGUGUAUCCCCUCCUUGUCUUUCUGAUAUCUCCUGGAAACAGCGGCUAUUACCGGAUAGAAUCUCCUGCAGCACGGUGGGCGUUGGAAAGUUUCGGCGGUUGGGGCUGGUCUCGCUGCUUAUCCGCCUCUUUGUGAGGUAGGUGCUUACCAAGGGUUUGACGGGUAGCCGGCCUGAGAGGGUGACCGGCGACAUUACGACUGAGGGACGGAGCAGACGCCUACGGGAGGCAACAGUGGGAAAUAUUGCAGAAUAAGCGGGAGCCAGAUGCAGCGACGUCGCGAGCGGGAUGACCGCCUUCGGGUUGUAAACCACUGUCGACGGUGACGAAGCGUGAGUGACGGUAAUGGGUAAAAAAGCACCGGCUAACUACGUG
rnacentral:rRNA from 1 species